CACAGCAGACGAAAGGUGCCCGAAAUGUCUACGUUCACCCAUGACGUCACGUCCGCUAUAACCCAUGAUGUCACAUCCGCUCAUUUCCAUGGCGGCCGUCUUACGGAGCCGGCUGCGCUGCGAAACGGUCCGUAUUCCGUGCCCACUUAGAGCGUGAGUAAUUCAUCUUUCCACGCUAUAUGCGUGUAAUAAAGGAUUGGGGCUGUGAGCAGUUUGAUGCGUUACCAUUAGGUACCUUGUGCGCAUAUGUUGCCUCCUGGCCGCGUCAAAUUGCAGCCGGCAUGUGGAAUGGGCCGUGGCAUCUUAAAUGGAGCUGCUCAUGUGAGUGGUAUUGCCUCCGUCAGGAUCGUCAGUGCGUGCACUGAACCAUUCAGUAGUCUGGUUCAGGGGAGAAUGCGCGAAAGAAAGAGGACGUAAGAAAACACUGGCAUGACGAGCUGAUCCGUCAGAUCGCGUUACAUCGCGCUUUUUUUCUAAGACCAUCUAGCUCGAGUGAGAGGCUCGUAGAACAGCAUUACUACUGCUUUUUUACAGCUUCAUCACCUCAUCACCUGCAUCAUCACCUGCAUUCUUUUAAUAAUACAAAUGACAUCGCUGCGCGGAAGACCGUCUCUUGAAGUUUCCAAACAAGAGCCAAUGCCGCCGUGCUUGCUGCAUACAUGCUUGCCUUUCCUAACGCAGUUAAGACGCGGCACUAGCUCUGCUACUGCGUGAUACAGGGUCACUGUGAUAAGAAAAUUAAAAUGAACAAACGAAAUUAAGGCAGAAAAUGUCAAACGUUGCCAAGCGUGAUAAACGGACCUGCCUCGCUAGACGAGUUGAAGAAAUCGGCGUCCUGAAGUCAGCUUCGCCGCAGUAGACUAGUGUUACGCGCUGAAGCAUGUCAGAACUGAAGAGUGACCGCUCUCACCGACAUAAAUAAUAUGUGUUCCUUAAUGAUGUACGCGUGCACCUGCCGUCUCCUGUUACAUUAGGCGCGCCGAGGCGCCUAAGUGUACUGGCCGGCCUUCAGCGCUAUUUCGGACGUGGCUGUGAUGCUUUGAACCGUUGGUUUGUCGACCUCGUAAGCCAGUUAAUGUUUACACGGCCAUUUUUUUUCUGAGCUGUUGAUUUCUUCCAUAAUAGCUACGUAAUUUCGUAGUUUCCUGUUCAACUGCUUUGGUCAUAUGCGAGUCAAGGUGUACUCUUUAGUCGAGCGCAGUUUUCGAAAGCGAAACGACGCUUUUGCAUCAGCAUAUAGUGCCGUCGCCCAUUUACAACACAGUCAAUCAAUGUAAUUUUGUAUGUCACUGGGAAACCGCCGAACGCAGGGAACUCACUCGCAUGCGGGGAACUGCAUAACUAGCCACGGGAUUACCGUGCCUCUUGGGAAGCUGCUUUGCAUCAAAGGCCAGACUCCUGCAUCUCUACCAGCCACUACCAAACGCUUGUCGGUACGUCUCUUGGCAAAGGUCCAGACUGAACAUCCCACGUCUUGGUUUGACUUCAUCGUACAGGAUACUUGCACUUAGCUUGGAGUGAUGAAGCAGAGCAGUGUACUUUUAUUAAAUGUGCAGAUUUUAGCAGUAUAACAGCAGUUCAUUAAAAAAACAUGUGUGCUGAAAAUAAAGUGUUCUUACCCACA